rnacentral:rRNA from 1 species
AGUGAACGCUGGCGGUAGGCCUAACACAUGCAAGUCGAACGGCAGCACAGAGGAGCUUGCUCCUUGGGUGGCGAGUGGCGGACGGGUGAGGAAUACAUCGGAAUCUACUCUGUCGUGGGGGAUAACGUAGGGAAACUUACGCUAAUACCGCAUACGACCUACGGGUGAAAGCAGGGGACCUUCGGGCCUUGCGCGAUUGAAUGAGCCGAUGUCGGAUUAGCUAGUUGGCGGGGUAAAGGCCCACCAAGGCGACGAUCCGUAGCUGGUCUGGGAGGAUGAUCAGCCACACUGGAACUGGGACACGGUCCAGACUCCUACGGGAGGCAGAAGUGGGGAAUAUUGGACAAUGGGCGCAAGCCUGAUCCAGCCAUACCGCGUGGGUGAAGAAGGCCUUCGGGUUGUAAAGCCCUUUUGUUGGGAAAGAAAUCCCGCUGGCUAAUACCCGGUUGGGAUGACGGUACCCAAAGAAUAAGCACCGGCUAACUUCGUGCCAGCCGCCGCAGUAA